GAUGAACGCUGGCGGCGUGCCUAAUACAUGCAAGUCGAGCGAACGGACGAGAAGCUUGCUUCUCUGAUGUUAGCGGCGGACGGGAGGGUAACACGUGGUUAACCUACCUAUAAGACUGGGAUAACUUCGGGAAACCGUAUCUAAUACCGGAUAAUAUUUUGAACCGCAUGGUUCACAAGUGAAAGACGGUCUUUCUGUCACUUAUAGAUGAAUCCGCCCUGCAUUAACUAGUUGGUAAGGUAACGGCUUACCAAGGCAACGAUGCAUAGCCGACCUGAGAGCGACGAUGGACAGCUGGGAAGAGAGACACGGCCCAGACACCUAGAGUAGGAAGCGGUAGGGAAUCUUCCGCAAGGGGGGAAUGGCUGACGGAGCAACGCCGGGGGAAGGAUGAAGCUGUAAGGACCGGAGAGCGCUGAAAUUCGUGAAGUUGAUAUGCGUAAGUACCUGUGAAGAUAUUGACGGUACCUAAACAGAAAGCUACGGCUAACUCCGUG
rnacentral:rRNA from 1 species